ACCGGAUCGUAUUUAGACGAUCCGGCUCUAUUACAAAAAGGUUCUUAAAUGAACCAGCACAAAGGAGUAGUACACAAUGGCCGAAGGAACAGUUAAAUGGUUUAAUGAUUCAAAAGGUUUUGGUUUUAUAGAAGAAAAUGGUGGAAAGGAUGUCUUUGUUCAUCAUUCAGCAAUUCAGGGCGACGGUUUCAAGUCUCUCGACGAAGGUGCACGAGUAACCUUUGACAUUGUCGAUGGCCCUAAAGGACCAGCUGCAGAGAAUGUUGUCAAACAGUAACACAUUUCUUUGACAGGAGAGCAAAAGACCUCGCUAAAUGCAAGGCCUUUUGC
rnacentral:sRNA from 1 species